GACGAACGCUGGCGGCGUGCUUAACACAUGCAAGUCGAACGGAAAGGCCCUGCUUGCAGGGUAUUCGAGUGGCGAACGGGUGAGUAACACGUGGGUGAUCUGCCCUGCACUUCGGGAUAAGCCUGGGAAACUGGGUCUAAUACCGGCUAGGAGCCAUUUUUAGUGUGAUGGUUGGAAAGUUUUUUCGGUGUAGGAUGAGCUCGCGGCCUAUCUGCUUGUUGGUGGGGUAAUGGCCUACCAAGGCGGCGACGGGUAGCCGGCCUGAGAGGGUGGACGGCCACAUUGGGACUGAGAGACGGCCCAGACACGUACGGGAGGCAGCAGUGGGGAAGAUUGAACAAUGGGCGCAAGCCUGAUGCAGCGACGCCGCGUGGGGGAUGACGGCCUUCGGGUUGUAAACUCCAUUCGCUAGGGACGAAGCUUUUUGUGACGGUACCUAGAUAAGAAGCACCGGCUAACUACGUG
rnacentral:rRNA from 1 species